rnacentral:lncRNA from 1 species
UCUUCACAGGCUUCUUCACGGCCUCCUGGCCGAGUACCCACGUGACAAGAGGAAGAGUGCAGAGGGUGCCCGCAGUCCUGGCCUUGGGACAGACAGAGCUUCAGAGGGCUGGUCCAGUCGAGCAUAGGACCACAGUGACAGACUCACUUCUGCGGCUCAGCCUCCUUCUUCCUGCACCCUCGUGGCCCAUUUUGAGUAAGUGUCACCUGGUACGUGUAGCUAUUGCUUUGUUCCAGGAAAUAAAGAAUUGCUCUAAGGGGCAGGACCAAGAGGCCCAUGGGCAGUCUGGGUGCUGGUCCCCCGGGCUCCUCCCUCUUCCCAGGGGUUCAGUUCUGCUGUCCUGGCCCUGACCCCACCCAACCUGCACACAGGAGCCAGUGACAUGUCCCCUCAACCGCCCCUCUGCUGUUCCUCAAAAGCGCACAGAUUUAAUUUUCGACACAUGGGAAGAAAAUGUACUUCCUCAAACAGCCCCAGGGACGGGCCAAGAGGGAGCAAGCUAAUUAUCUCCCGUGUUUUCCUUCAGCGGGGAGUGGGCAGAAGGGACGGGAGAGAAGAAAUUGGCAGGGCCGAGAGCAGGUUCCAGACCGCAUCGUGGGGUUGCAGCGCUGGUACCCUGAGAAUUGGGGUGGGGCGGAAGUCCGGGGCCACAAGAACCUGUGCUCUCUGUCCCCAGAGCCCAGCAUCUGGAGGGAGUUGGCAGGACCCUGCUGCUCGGCCUCCUCCUUCCUGCAGUGCCAGGCAAUGCCACAGGUGGGGUCUUCAGGGCCAAGUCCACGGCAACAAGGCCCUGGUGAGCAGGUGCCACAGAGAGGCCACUGCUUGGGAGACAGGACCCCAUUCCUUCCAGGACCCAAACAGCAGGCCAGGAGAGAGGCCCCAGGAAAAGAGGCUCAGCCUCACGGAGCCAAGAUUCCCAGGAAAAGCGAUGGACACCGGGACGUGGAGACAUGACAGCUCAAACUUAGAGAAUCGGAAGAAGACAAUUCCACAGCCCGACACCUCCCUGUGACAGAUGCCUAAUUAAGACUGGACAGAAACAGGCAAGAGAGCCACUUAAUCCAGACUCUAUUUGCCUUGCUAAUUUAGGGGUGUGCGUGUGCGUGUGUGUGUGUGUGUGUGUGUGUGUGUGUGCAUGUGUGUUUUCCUGUUGGGUGAAGGUUUGUAAAAUCUUAAUGAGGUUGUGCAUAUUGGAACAGAGAUGGAAAGGCGUCCUCCCCUCCCCCUCCGUAAUGGUCUCACAUCCCUGGGGCCAUUAAAACUCCAUGCACAAGACUCUCCCUGUAGGGAAAGUGGCAAAGGGCCUCCUCUGUCUGUGGAUUCAGGGGAGGAGACCAAGUGUCUCAUUCAAUCACAGAUAGAUGGCUGGUGGCUUAGGCAGUUGAUGACUACUUCUUUUUUUUUUUUCUUCCUUAAAUGAAAACCUCAAAUUGGACUCAAAGCAGCUAUUUGUAAUGUCAGGAGCCGCUGGCAUUUAGAUAUCAAGCUCAUUGAAUUAAUUUUUAAUGACCUUUAAUGUGACAGGUCAGCAGGGGCAGAAGGAACACUCUGCUGUGUACACAGUAGGCAGUUGUUGGAACCAAAGGGAACAGGGGAGCAUGCCACCAGGGAGACCCCACCAUGAGCCCUUCCUCCUUCCCGACUCUGCCACCUGGCCUGGGUCCUGGGACUAGGGGACACUGCCUGCUCUCUCCGGCCUAUGUGAGGGGAACAGCUCUGCGAGGGAGGGACGGGCAGCGAGAAAGAGCCCUGCUGGCUUCGGUGCUACCUUGGGGUGAUUCAGAUGGUCACUCCCCAAAGUGGCCUCUUCAAAGCGCACUGACCCCGUGGGCAGUUUCAAGGGGCCCCGUUCAGCGCUGGCUCCCCUUCAGGGCAGUUGAGGUGUGUGCACCACCAGGAGGCAGCUAUCGGAUGAGGAGACCUCAGGGCUACGUCCAUCCACUUGGUCUCAUGCAAGGGUAAGGGGCUAUGUCACUGUGGGCUCCGGGAACCUGCAGCCUUUGCUAAGAGCCUGAAACCGUCAGGUGUCAGGUCCUGGGGCCAGGGGGUGAUGAGGCACCAGCCAGCCCGUCCCUGUCAGAGAGCAGGUCAAGGUGUCCCCUGGGUGAGACGGCAAUUUCACCCUUUCCCAUGCACACACUGGUCAGAUGCACGUCUAACUGGGGCCCGAGGUUCUACAUGGCUACCCAGGUCCCAGGUGACCCUGAGGUUCCUGGUCCGGGAGACCACGCUCUGAGUAGCCAGGGUCGAUAGUCCAGAAAGAUGACCCUGGGAGGGCCUCUCUCAGCAGCAUCACCCGGAGGCCUCAUUAAGACAUGAAUCGCUUCCUCCCAUCCCUAGACUUCCCAACUGAGCAGGUGUGAGGUGGAGAAGGAGCAUUUGCCUUUGUGACAGGAUUGAGGUGAAAAUGACGUCCAGAGACCACGCUUUUGGGAAUGGCUGGGACUCUGGGCCUGAGACCUGCACCAGAGGUGCUUAGAGUUGGACAAGGAAAAGAGGCAGGAAUCGGGAGCAAGAGUGGGUCACCACGUGGCCUUCCCUGUAUACUGUGAAUGGAGCUUUAAUGUCCCUGGGACGUGGAACACUGGGUGGGUGAGUGGGGGGCUCUUUCCAUGCAAAAAUCUUUAGCUCAAAACACCUUCUCCCUCCCAACCCUUUCUCUCCUCGGGAGGAGCACAGGGGAAGGGGAGGGCCGUCCAGCUUCUGCCUGGACAGGCAGCUGCUCAGCCCUCUUUGCCCAUUCCCACAAAACCUGGGGAGAUUUUAAAUGCUCAGGGGGCUUCUGCCUGUUCCUCCAGAUGCCGACUUAAUUGGUCUUAGGUGAUGCCUAGGACCAAUUUUUGUUUUUGUUUUUAAAUAAACUCCUCCAGAGCCACAGUUGAGAACCACUGGCCUAGACCCAAGUCUACUGUCAGCUGCGGCUUGUUGGGGAGUUGGGCAAAGGAUGUCCCCUCCCUUAUUCUCUGAACCUCCUUGCUACACGCCCCCCCACCCAACGCACGUAGCUGAAGUUCUGCGGAACACCUGGUCUGUUCUACUGAGAACGGGGCGACCUACUUUCUCUGCCUGUGGCUUCUCUUGCACAUGGGGACUCUGGGGACGGAGGGGCAGAUGGAAAUGUCAGCAUGUCUGUGUUGAUGCUGCAUUUGGGUGUCACCCAAGCGCUUGUUUCUCUGUCAGAUUCCGGAUGUGGCAUUUAGAUAGUGAACCGCUGCCGCCAGACUCUUGCUGGGGAGAUCAAAGCAUCCGGCAGCAUCCAGAGACGCCCUGGGGUCUGGCUGCCAAGAGCUGGCGGCUCUGGGCCACCGGCAGGACGGGGCUGGCACAGGGACUGUUUCGGCUGGAGGCGGACCACAGGCAGACAGAGCACCUGGGGAUUCUUCCCUCCUGUCGGGGCCCCUUCACCUGUAAGGCUGCUCUCCCAGCCGGGUGCCUACCUGUGCACGUCCAAGCACAUGGGACCUCGCCACACAGCCCUGACCCUGGUGGCUGCCUGUGGCUGUCACCACUCUCUGUCCCUCACUGUGAGGAGGGAUAGACCACAGAGGGCCAGCCAGCCGGCCGGAGGGGGCUCCAUCUAAAAUGGUCCCAUCGUGGGGAGCAGACACCAGGAAGUGGGUCCAGGACUGGGGACAGAGACCCCUCGUCCUCCUGCCUUCUGGCUUUACUGGAUCCAUUCCACUGUGGUCCCCGUGGGGUGGGGUGGGAUAUCUCCUAGCCUUGUGCUAUAGAAGGCCUUGGAUGUCCCACUGUGUCCCUGGGUGCCUCUGGGGCGUCUCGGGGGCUGGCAGACCAAGGACAGGCACAGGAGGAAUCGGCAAGGUGCACUGGCCUUGAGCACAGAUGGAGCACAGCGGUCCUUCUGGGAAGUGUCCCUGCUCACUGUGAGUCCUCAGCAGCUGCCCAAUGUCACCGGUGUUUAUUAACCUUUCCUGCACACAGCAAAGAACAUUGUGUCUCUCCAUGCAGGCUCUCAAGAAUUCCAAUUAUUCCGUGUUCUGGCCCCCACCCCCACUUUUUAGUAGGAGUCACUAUUAACAUCUCCCUGGUUGGAUUUCGGAAAGAACAGCCUGUCUCGUCUUGACAGGAGACUGGAGAGAACUGUGAGCACUGGGGUCCACUUGGUGCAGGAUCUGGCUCUGGCCGCUCCUCCUGGCCGUCUAUUCUUCCUGUUGACAAGGAGAGAGCAGGGUCUCACCCCUGCCCCUGUCCAAUGCCCCCACCAGUUCCCAAAUGUGAGAGGCUCCGGCCCUUCCAUUAGGACCCCUGCUCCCUGUUACUUUGGUGAUGCCAGACUUGGGGUCUUUUUCCAGCCUCUGUCCCCCUCUCUUCCUGCUCAGAGGGCAGGGGAGAAGGGUCUUAACAGGAAAGUGACUACUCUGUGUACCCUCGGUAUGCCCCGGUCAGCAAGGGGGACCCGGAGAGCGCCCCUCCCAGCAAUUGGGAAGGCUCCAGUUUGUCCCCAGGGGUGUUCCUGUGAAUCUGACGUCCCACAGGAAGUCAUCCUGCAGGCAGGCUGGGCUGGGCAUGGCUGGGUCCCUCCAGCCCCUGAAGGGCUUGAAGCCUCAGACGCAGGAGCAGGGAUCAGGUGGGAGCUGAAAAGUGAGCUUCUCCAAGCAUGGAACUAGGGAGAGGCUUCGGGGCCCCCACCCCUGGAAGCUCCUCAACAAAGCUUCCACCUCUUGCCCCUCAGCGUAGAGCCAGGGAAGAGGGGAUGGCCAUGGCGGUGUGACCUGUGGCCCCUCCCAGCUCCCCAGCUGGCCCUGGCACCGCCAGCCUAACUCCGCCGCCCCCACCUGCUCUCUGGCUCCCUGCUUGCUCUCUGGGCUCAGGCUUCCAAGGGUGGCUCGAAGGCCACGCCCCCUGUGUGGCCUGGAUACCUUCCACCUGCCUCCCCGGCCCCGCCCACCAGCCCAAGGAGGAAGUAAUCUUCCUCCUGGGAGUUCUUGGAACACUUUCUCUGCACUUUGUGGCGGCAGGCAUCAAUUUCUGCUCCUUACCCCAGUUUCCCACCUGCAUCUCUUAUAUCACCUCCGAGUUGGCAAGCUCCUUAAUGACAGGAGUCAUAGCUCAUCCUCCUUUAUGGCCACACUGCACCCAGCGCUGCAAAUGUAGAUUGAAUGAUAAGAAGCUCAACCUAGCGACAUUCUGGGGAUACGUGUCAUCAUGAGAAGGUCGUUCAUUUCUGCUUUGUUCCUGAAGUGGGGGGCAUCUCCUAGUUCCAGGGAAGACAGAGGGAAGACUCAUCCCUCUGAGGUGUCAACUGGUGGACAGCCAUUUCUGGGGUUGUUUGGAGCUCCACCCAUGGGCAGGCCCCGCUGGACAUCACUUUCCACCUCCCAGUCUCCUCCUGAUGCCCCACUUAGUCCAGCCUUAUUGGUGUUGGGAGUCCCACCUUGACACCUUCUUGAUUCUCACGGAACCUCCCGAUGCCACCUCUUGACUGUCCCAGACCUGCUCUUCUUUCUUUGUAAAUCUUUAAUCAGAUGCAUUUCUUUUUUGCUUCUUGUCACUCGGUUUCCGGCCACUCUGUCCACACCCUGCACGCUGUUUCCACUUGAGCGUCCACAAUAUUUGUAACCUUCAGUGCUUAAGGCCACGUGCCUCUGCCAAGCAACCUUUCAGGAUUUCUUUGGUAAAACUCACUCCUUCUUCCUCAGUGGAAUCCCACAGCCAUUGGUUCAUCUGCCUGGUAGUAUAGUUUUUGUAUUAGUUAGGAUAAAAGACUAAGCUGCUGUGAUAUCAUUGUUUAAGCAACAAUAUGGUGGUUUAAAUAACAAAGUGUAUUUUUUCUCUCUCUCUCUCGUUUUUCUUUCUUUCUUUCUCUCUUUCUUUCUUUACUGUUGAACUCAAAUCUACAUCCCAACUCUUUUAAUUUUGAGACAGGAUCUCUCUAGGUUGCUUAGGCCUCACUAAGUUGCUGAAGCUGACCUCAAACUUUCUGUCCUCCUGCCUCAGCCUCCUAAAUUACUGGGAUUAUGGACAUAUGCCACGGUGCCUGGCCUGCAUUUCUCUUUUACCAAGAUUUGUGUUGGAUUGGUGGGGCCACUUGUCAUUUGUGGUCAUCUGGAGACCAGAUGAAUCCGCUCUGUUGUUCUGCCCUCUCCUAGGCGGUAUAAUCAGAGACAGUUGAAGCUAGGUUGAAAGGGUGCAAGUUCAGCCGGUAGGAAGAAAAAAAGAGCUGGCAGAAGUCACCCUGGAUGGUGUUCACCAUCACGAUGGUCUGGUCUCUGUGGUAAUCGUGUCACGUAACAAAUAGAGCCAACAGCCCCAAACUGACAGAGCUCUACAGACGUUUCCUGCCCCUUGGUUAUUUAACAAGCACUAACCUAGGUGCUGCUGAGAAGGGACCUUGCAGAGGCAUUUAGGGUUCUGAAUUAGCUGCUCUCAUGAUUGGCAGCUCAUCUUGGAUUCUCCAGGUGGACCCAGUGUCAUUGCACAAGCCCUUCAAAUCAGGCAGGAAGCAGGAGAGGAGGGAAAGGCAUGUGUCUUCACCAUGCCGCUGCCGAUUCUGAGACACACAGGUCACUUGCAAGGACACCAGUGAAGCCUCUAGAUGUGGAGGACAGUCCCAGUGAUGACCGUCUGGGAAAUGAGAACCUCAGUCCUACAACCACUAGGAACCUGAACUGGCCAGUGACGUGAAUGAGCUUGGCAGCAGGUCCUCCCCUAGCCUCGAGGAGCCGGUCAGCAGCCCCCCUGAGUGUGUCCUUGGAGCCAAGCCAGACCCCUGCAGUUGAAAUCAUAGAGGUGUUUUGGGAUUCAGCCACUCAGUUUGUGGAAGACCAAGGCAGAGGUCCCCACGACUCCCUGUCUCAGGUCUGUGGCCUGCAGGUUGGCUGGGAUUUGGCCAACUCAGCCGGCCAGGCUGCACCGCAGGCUCCCAGGAGGCUAGCGUCUCAUCCAGCAUCUUCAUUUAUUUAGUGUGUUGGUCACAUGGCAGUGACAGAGGCACUGGAGGCCACAUCACACCCCAGGAACAGGCUAAGCCUCCCUUGCAUCUUGGCAACCAACCAUUGUCCCAAACAAGUCUUGAGGUCACGCCCAGCACUGGGGGAGGGGGCAGUGUGCUAACCUGCGCUGGGGGAAGGCCUGCUACCUGACCCGCAGUCUGGUGUAGGAUUCUGCUAGAGGAGGGUAUGGACAUGAGGCCACCGUCCACUCGCCCACACUUCCCAUCCCGCUGUCUUCUCCGAGGCAUAACGCCUGCUCUUUGUGUUCCUUUACUGUUGUGUGUGUAUGUGCACGGGUACACACGUGUGUGCCUCACACUAGAGCGUGCACUCCAUGAAGGUAGGAAGAGCUGCCUCUUUUGCCUCCUGAGUCUUAAGCACAGACCUGGGAUGUCACAGGAGGUCAAUAUGUACUUGUUGAGUAAAGCAGUGAUGUUAGCUGGGACCCACCGUGUCUUCCCCGUGGGCUGCACGUGAUUCAUUUUGUGUAGGAAAAGCACCCCCACACCCUGUGACAUGGACGGAAAGCUCAUCACAGCACAAAAAGCAAAACCUACUCCCAGCCUGAUAUGGAGCCUCCGAUGGUCUCCAGGAGUUGCAGGAAAUUGUAAAAAUAAAAUUGUAAAAAUUCCCCCCCCAAAAAAAUUAGGCUGUGAUAACAACGCUCCCCACCCCCAGGCUGGCUGUUGGUUGGUGGGGGGGGGGCCCAGGUCUAUAAAUUCAAACCGCAGGGCAUGCCAAUCCCCAGAGGCUUCACUCCUGAAGCUAAAAUAAUAAUUCUGGGCUUUGGCAGGAUUUUCUGGAUCCCACCCGGCUUUUCUUGAGCAUGGAGGACUGGCCGUCCCUGCCAAAUGGAACCACCUCGGGAGAGCUGGCCAGGGCUGUCAGCGCCUCUCCUUUCAGUCGGCUGAUUGGCGGAGUCAACUGGUGUUUGUGGGGUGCCGGGCCCAGCCUCGGUUAACCCCUUCAGACAUCUAAAGACGCCUGAGAUGCACGGUGGCAUGGGAGGCGGGGGUCUGGAUGCAGGAGCUCACACAAGACGAGAAAGGGGCGGGGACACCCUCCAUCCCAGGUCUUGAGGGAAUCGCCACCCUGGGGGCACAGGGGUCCUCCUAGAACCCGUCCUCACCUCCAUUGCAAUGUUAUCAAACAUAUCCAUUCUCUGUCAGUAAUGGUCAUCACCAUCACCACCAACCACUGCGAUAUAAUUAAUAUUUACCUGUGAUUAUUAUCAAUAUUUAUUAGUAAUGAAUAUUAAUCAUGGGAGUCUCAUAAAUAAAUAUUAAUAGUAUUAACAUCAAAUAUUUAUUACGUUUAUUAUGCACCAGGAGUCCAUUGUUAUGCACCCUAGUGUAGGUGGUAGGAUGAUCCCCACUUGACAGACAGGGAAACUGAGGCAGAUUCAGGAUCUUGCCCAAGGACACCUUGCAGAGUGUUGGAGGGGGGCCUGGCUGACUGACACUGGCUCUAUGCUACACAGUGUCUGAGAGAGCAGGUAUUAUGCUUUCAUUUAAAAUGCUGCAUUCAUUGAGUGCUUGUCUCACUCACUCAGAGUAAGAAGAGGAGCAGGAGGGCAGGGCGCCAGUGGACCCGGGAUCAGAGAGGCCCUGACCUCCCUGAGAUGGAAGGUGGUGGGGGCGGGGGCGAUGGUACAGGCACUUGUAUUAAAAUGCAAAUUUCUGCCUUGCUUGCUGGUUUAUCAUCUGACUCGUUAUACAAUUUGCCAGUUAUAGAAGAAAAAUUACCAUAAUGGGGCCCCAGGGAAUGGUUGUAAAAAGGAGACCAAACGUUACUUAUCGGCCGUUCCACUACAAUUAUCUUACACGUUUGUUCUUUUCCUCCUCAGAAAAAUGAAACCGUCAAUGCCAGGGACAAGGUGCUGACCAGGGUGCUGACCAGGCAGGAGACAGCCCAGCGGCUAUGUCUUUGAUCCGCUCCUCCCUCCUCUCCCUACCUGCCCCAGCUGGGGCCACCGCGGCUACCUUCCUUGGGCAGCUCCCUCCGCAGGACAGGCUGGCUGGGCGUUUUCCAAGCAGGAAAAGAGAGAGGGUUCUGCAGGUGGGAGUUCAGAGUCUCCUGCGUCUUACUGGCCCAGGCUGGGCAGGAUCUCCUCUCCUGGGGGCUUGAUGUGGAGGUGGGGCAGCUCAGGAGGUCCCAUGGAGCAUCACUCCUCAGCCUCAGCAGGUACCGGGCAGGUAGGUGGGACUCAGGUAGGCUGCAGGUAGCCGGACUUCUGCAAGGAGGCAGCCGCUGUGUGGGGCAUUCCUCUGGGCCACCGUACCCGGAGGACUCACGCUCCUAGAUACCUUUCCAACCUGUACCUGCCGCCCCACCCAGAGCAUCUUCCUGCAGAGCCUCACUGUGGGCUCCUUGCAGGGGGAGGGUGAGUCUUUCCACUUGAUUCUUUCAGUAUCUACCGAGUACUUGGAACCUAAUAAGAAGGAGAUAAAUAUUUGAUGAAUGAAUGAAA